AUUGAACGCUGGCGGAAUGCUUUACACAUGCAAGUCGAGCGGCAGCGCGGGGCAACCUGGCGGCGAGCGGCGAACGGGUGAGUAAUACAUCGGAACGUGCCCAGACGUGGGGGAUAACUACUCGAAAGAGUGGCUAAUACCGCAUACGAUCUACGGAUGAAAGCGGGGGAUCGCAAGACCUCGCGCGUCUGGAGCGGCUGAUGGCAGAUUAGGUAGUUGGUGGGAUAAAAGCCUACCAAGCCAAUGAUCUGUAGCUGGUCUGAGAGGAUGAUCAGCCACACUGGGACUGAGACACGGCCCAGACUCCUACGGGAGGCAGCAGUGGGGAAUUUUUGGACAAUGGGCGAAAGCCUGAUCCAGCCAUUCCGCGUGCAGGAUGAAGGCCCUCGGGUUGUAAACUGCUUUUGUACAGAACGAAAAAGCUACUGGCUAAUACCUGGAGUCCAUGACGGUACUGUAAGAUAAGCACCGGCUAACUACGU
rnacentral:rRNA from 1 species